ACCGACGUUUGUCUUUGAUGAUAGUUCUGCUUCGAAGAAGAAUGAGACUUCUUUUUGUUCAUCUUCGUUCUAUUUCAUAGCACCUUGUAAGAUCUCUUCGCAUUCAGACGCAUUAUAAUGCGUAAUCCGUGCACCCACUUUCGAGACCAUAACCUCGAAAUUUUCCAGCCGCAGCAAGAACACCAACGGCGGAGAUUUCUGAGAUAUCAUGGAGGGCUCUGUCGCACUAUAUUGAUUUUCAUUCCUACAAGAGUAAAUUAAUUUUUCUCGUUAAUUUUGACGAUCAUUUUUUUUCAAUCUGCAUUCAUCUUAUCUUUUUUUUAUCUAUAUAGUAAAAAUGAUCAUAUCAUUCUAGAAGAUCGAAUUUCAUCAAUAUGGAUUGUCAACAAUCCAUAUCUUUUUUAGAAAUUAAAUGCAUUCGCCAUUUUUAGAUCCCAUCAUUUUAGUGUCUUGUUAUAUCACUCAGUUAAUUAUUUAUGAAAAACGAUAACAAAGUGCACAAUAUUAAUUAACUAUCGAAAUCCUCAUGAGAUAUUUCGUAUUAACUUAUUGAUAAAUCAAAUCAAACGUACGAAUGAAUCCAAAUGGUUAAUUCUUAUUCUUUGUUAAUCCUACUGGAUAAAGUUCUCUUUUAAAAUCUUCUUAUUUAUUUCUUAUAAAUGAAAUGAAACAUUGUAUAUUAGUGUAAGGAGAUUAUUUUUUUAUAUGGUAUAACUUGAAAUAACGUAUAUAAGGUUGUGCAGAUAAAUGUUCGAUAUUUCUUUUCAAUUUGUAUCUAAGAAAAUUUUCUAGAAAUAUACAGGUAUUGUUAUAGUAAUUAAACAUUUACAUUAAGGGGUCUCCAAAUUAUUAAUCUUUUCAAAGUAUAAAUAUAUAUAUAUAUAUAUAUAUAUAUAUAUAUAUAUAUAUAAAAAUCAUAAUUAAAAGAUUCAUAGCAUUUUCUAUUGAGACUAUGCACCAUUUUACAUUAUAUAGUAAUUGAUAUUAAUAAAAAAAUAUUUAAUAUUUCUAAAAAAAUGUAAACCUCAAAAUCACAUGACGCGUUUCAAAUUAAAAUUCCUUAACGGAUUCAAACUUUCCAACUCAUGGAAUAUAUUAAAUUAUUUUUUUAUUUACAAUAUUCCAAAAAAAAAAAAAAAAAAAAAAAAAAAAUAAAGAAAAAAAAAGAAAAAAAAACAAGAAUAGGUAAAAAUAGCAUCGCAAUCAUGUUGAAUGAAUGUGAUAGAAGAAUACAGAAUAUUAAUUUUGUUACAUAUAUCUAUAAUUCUGUUUUGAUAAAAUCUUGAACUCUAUUAUUUUUGUUUACAUAUAUGUCAAUUCACAAAAUUUUUCUUACAAAGAGGAGCAUAUAUAAAGAGCCCCCUUAAUGUUACUCAAUCAUUAAGAUUUCUGUAUAAUUAGACUGUUACAGUAAAACAGUAAUAAUUUGAAUUUUCACGCUGCAAAGCAAAACAAAUUCAUUGCAACAAAAAAUAACCGCAAUGAAUAAAACAACAAUGUAGCUGUAUUAAAAUAAUAAUCAAUAACAUUCAACUGCAAACCUUAUGCAUUAAUUUGUCUGUUUUAAGAACAAAAAGAGCAAGUUCUUAAAACAGUUAUGCGCAAUAUUAUUUUGCAUAAAACAAAUAACACUAUGUUUUCUCGAGUUAUUUAAUACUAAGUACUGAUUAUAAAUUUAUUUUACUUAUAUUAUUUAUUUUUUUUUUUUUGUUAUAAUAAAAGGAAAGAAAAAAAUAAAGAAAGAAUAGGACUGGAUAGAAUACCACAAUUUAUAAACGUAUUUAGAUAUUCAUUGGAAACUUAUAACUAUAUAAUUUGUACUGAGUACAGAUCAACCGCAAUAAGCUUCUUUUAUAUUAUUUAUAUUGCUUAUGCACAGUGCAGCGAAAUUAGAAUUAUAUUACACAUUCUACAAAAUUACUUGUCAAUUUCGCCAUAGCUUCUUUGCAGCGGAAAACUCGUAUCUUAACUACUAAAGAUACAAUUAUGAUAAUAAUAAUAAUAAUAAUAUAUAUACCAUUAUUUUAUACAACCUAAUUUCUAAAUAGAGCCUUACAGACCGACCACAAUGAUUAGAUUUGUCCUGCUACCCCAAAUAGAAAAUCAACAUUAUAUUAUAUACUUUGAAACGAUUUGCUUCUUUCAUAUGAUUUUAUAUUUUUUAACCGAAGUUAUUAUAUUGAGAAUAGUCUUGCAGAUUCGUAGAAAUUAAAAAAUUUUCUACUCGCCAACUUUAAAUAAAAUUUCUUAAAACUGUACCGUCACUCUUUGGCUCCGAGUGUUCGUUUUCUUUAAAUGAUCGAUUUAAUAUUCAUGCAGACCUUUAUGCAAAUUAACUUGGAUGACAUUAACACAGGUACACAUCACAGCAUCUUUGAUAAGCUGUAAUUACUUUAACAUUCUUGUGCAGAUAAAAAGUGCGAUAUAUAACUGCAACCUAUAAAAGCCAGAAUUUGUCAUUUAAUUGUAAAAAUGUAUACAAGAGUACCAGUAUCACGUAAAAUUUUGAUUUAAUAAGAUAAAAUAUUACGUGAUAAGAAGGCCGUUCUUGUAUUCGUUUAUCACAAAAUCUUUAUCCAUGGCACUGUGCCUCUGAUAGCUGUACAAUGUACCAAACACGUUGCGAGAGAGAUAUUUGUUGAAGGCUAUAAAACUCACAUAAAUAUAUAAAUUAUUUCUCAUCCAA